UGAGGAAUAUUGGGCAAUGCCCGAAAGGGUGACCCAGCAACGCCGCGUGGAGGAUGAAGGUCGUAAGAUUGUAAACUCCUGUUAGAGGGGAAGAAUAACUAAGUUUGGAGCUUAGUAUGACUGUACCCUCAGAGAAAGCCCCGGCUAACUACGUGCCAGCAGCCGCGGUAAUACGUAGGGGGCAAGCGUUGUCCGGAUUUACUGGGUGUAAAGGGCGCGCAGGCGGAAUGGAAAGUCAGUGGUGAAAUCCUACAGCUUAACUGUAGAACUGCCUUUGAUACUUUCAUUCUUGAGUUCGGGAGAGAGAGACGGAAUGCCAGGUGUAGUGGUGAAAUACGUAGAUAUCUGGAAGAACACCAGUUGCGAAGGCGGUCUCUUGGUCCGAUACUGACGCUGAGGCGCGAAAGCGUGGGGAGCAAACA
rnacentral:rRNA from 1 species